rnacentral:rRNA from 1 species
ACACAGGUAGUCAAGAUGAGAAUUCUAAGGUGAGCGAGCGAACUCUCGUUAAGGAACUCGGCAAAAUGACCCCGUAACUUCGGGAGAAGGGGUGCUCUUUAGGGUUAACGCCCAGAAGAGCCGCAGUGAAUAGGCCCAAGCGACUGUUUAUCAAAAACACAGGUCUCUGCUAAACCGUAAGGUGAUGUAUAGGGGCUGACGCCUGCCCGGUGCUGGAAGGUUAAGAGGAGUGGUUAGCUUCUGCGAAGCUACGAAUCGAAGCCCCAGUAAACGGCGGCCGUAACUAUAACGGUCCUAAGGUAGCGAAAUUCCUUGUCGGGUAAGUUCCGACCCGCACGAAAGGCGUAACGAUUUGGGCACUGUCUCAACGAGAGACUCGGUGAAAUCAUAGUACCUGUGAAGAUGCAGGUUACCCGCGACAGGACGGAAAGACCCCGUGGAGCUUUACUGUAGCCUGAUAUUGAAAUUCGGCACAGCUUGUACAGGAUAGGUAGGAGCCUUUGAAACGUGAGCGCUAGCUUACGUGGAGGCGCUGGUGGGAUACUACCCUAGCUGUGUUGGCUUUCUAACCCGCACCACUUAUCGUGGUGGGAGACAGUGUCAGGCGGGCAGUUUGACUGGGGCGGUCGCCUCCUAAAAGGUAACGGAGGCGCUCAAAGGUUCCCUCAGAAUGGUUGGAAAUCAUUCAUAGAGUGUAAAGGCAUAAGGGAGCUUGACUGCGAGACCUACAAGUCGAGCAGGGUCGAAAGACGGACUUAGUGAUCCGGUGGUUCCGCAUGGAAGGGCCAUCGCUCAACGGAUAAAAGCUACCCCGGGGAUAACAGGCUUAUCUCCCCCAAGAGUUCACAUCGACGGGGAGGUUUGGCACCUCGAUGUCGGCUCAUCGCAUCCUGGGGCUGUAGUCGGUCCCAAGGGUUGGGCUGUUCGCCCAUUAAAGCGGUACGCGAGCUGGGUUCAGAACGUCGUGAGACAGUUCGGUCCCUAUCCGUCGUGGGCGUAGGAAAUUUGAGAGGAGCUGUCCUUAGUACGAGAGGACCGGGAUGGACAUACCUCUGGUGUACCAGUUGUCGUGCCAACGGCAUAGCUGGGUAGCUAUGUGUGGACGGGAUAAGUGCUGAAAGCAUCUAAGCAUGAAGCCCCCCUCAAGAUGAGAUUUCCCAACUUCGGUUAUAAGAUCCCUCAAAGAUGAUGAGGUUAAUAGGUUCGAGGUGGAAGCAUGGUGACAUGUGGAGCUGACGAAUACUAAUCGAUCGAAGACUUAAUCAA